rnacentral:lncRNA from 1 species
CCAUAGACAGAUGGUUUCUGCACAAUGGAGCAGCUCCUGGGUCAGCAUAACAGUGCCACAGUGCAGAGAGAUCUACUUCUGAAGGCCAAGAUGGAUGGUUUCUCAGACUGACAGGAUGGCCAGGUUCUGGACAUCUCAGAGGGAGAAGCUCGGACACUCAGGCUCAACCAGAACAUCAGACCUUUGGUUAAACAGGUUUGAACCCACUGGCAGAAAUAUCUGUUUAUGAUUGAGAUACAGUGGUUAUGACAUUUGCUUUGUGAUAAAUGGUUUUGUGCUUGCUGCUGAAUACCCUGCAGCCACCAGCUAUUUGUAUUGUACUUAUCACGGUCAGGUAAACCAAAUGUAUUGUUAUUUUGCCAUUGUUCUCCGUCUAGACUUUUUCAGAGUAGCACAAUUAUACAAGACAAUUUUAGUACACAAGAAAAACUGAAGGAAAGUUUUGUCAGCAUGAUUGUUAACAUUUACAAUAUUGACAAACCACAUACAUUAGAGUACCUAAAAGCACAAUACAGAAAAUAAAAAAGGGGGAUUUAAUAAAUAAAUAUGUAAGUUGAAAAGGGAAAAAUAAAAUUGUAUUCCUAAAUUCUAAAACGGAAUGGAAGAAAGUGAGAUAAAAUAAAAUUCAUUGUGGGAUUUGGAGUUUGUGGCAUACAUAAUAAAACAAGCUAAAAUAAAAAACAUCUAUAAAUUAAGUAUAAAUACAUUUAAAUAAUAUAAAAUAAAACAAAACAAAACAAUUCAUUGGGGAGAUUGGAGAUUGUUGCUGAUGUGUUUGUUUUGUCCUUCUCAACAGGAGCGUGACUUGGAUUUUAAGGAUCAUGCUAUCAUGAAUGUGGUCUGUAUCACUUUGGCAGUGUGGAGUUUGACUGGUGCGCCGUGUCAAGGCUCUGUGCCUUCAGACAGAUGGGCAAGCGUACAGUGGUGGUGA